AGGAGGGAGGAGAGGGGCCAAGUUCCCUCCGCCUGGAACGCCCUUCCCCCCCUUCUUCA
rnacentral:pre_miRNA from 1 species